rnacentral:lncRNA from 1 species
CUCUGCCUCUGUCUCUAUCAGUGGAGAGACCGACACUUAGAACCAAGAAGACCCUGGUUUAAAUCAGUUCACUCAAGACAUUGGCUGAUGGGCAGUGCUUCUCCCUCCAGCCCUGGCUCUUGAGGGGUCUGGCCAGCCCAAAUAGUGGCAUGUUCACACUUGGCCUGACCCACCACUUCCUGACACAUGUCCUAUUCGGCUGGGGAGCAGGGAAACAGUUGAGAAGACAUGUAUCAAGACUUGCUCAUGGAAGCAGGAAUCCAAGAUGCCCAUUACAGGGGAAUGCUCCUGACAUCUUACUUCUAGACGCCAGUGCCUUUCUCUUUCUCUUUGAGGGGUGUUUAAGCCUCGGUCCCUGACCUCAGCAUUCACAUAGCCUGCCACUGUGCCUGACCCAGCAAGAUCAGUGGUUGAAUGAAUUAAUUAAUUAAUGGUGAUAAAGUUCUAGAAGCAUUUGGAAUAAGAACUUUUUUUUUUGGAGACAGGGUCUCACUCUGUUGCCCAGGCUGGAGUACAGUGGCAUGAUCAUGGCUCACUGCAGCCUCAGCCUCCCAGGCUCAAGCCCACAUCAGCCUCCUGGGUAG